rnacentral:rRNA from 1 species
UACGUAGGGUGCGAGCGUUAAUCGGAAUUACUGGGCGUAAAGCGUGCGCAGGCGGUUCGUUAAGUCCGAUGUGAAAGCCCCGGGCUCAACCUGGGAACUGCAUUUGAAACUGGCGGGCUUGAGUGUGGCAGAGGGGGGUGGAAUUCCGCGUGUAGCAGUGAAAUGCGUAGAGAUGCGGAGGAACACCGAUGGCGAAGGCAGCCCCCUGGGCUGAGAUUGACGCUCAGGCACGAAAGCGUGGGGAGCAAACAGG